GUGCCAGCAGCCGCGGUAAUACCAGCGGUCCAAGUCGCAACCGCGUUUAUUGGGUCUAAAACAUCCGUAGCUUGUUAUGUAAGUCUUUUGUGAAAUCUGGCAUCUUAAGUGUCGGGCGAGCAUAAGAUACUGCAUGGCUAGAGACUGGGAGACGUAAGGAGUACGGUUCGGGUAGCGGUAAAAUGCGUUGAUCCUUACUGGACUAACGAUAGCGAAGGCACCUUACGAGAACAGAUCUGACGGUCAGGGAUGAAGGCUAGGGGCGCAAAACGGAUUAGAUACCCGUGUAGUCCUAGCAGUAAACACUGCACACUAAACAUCGGUACCUCUUCGAGAGGUAUCGGUGCUGUAGGGAAGCCGGAGAGUGUGCUACCUGGGAAGUAUAGUCGCAAGGCCGAAACUCAAAUGAAUUGACGG
rnacentral:rRNA from 1 species